rnacentral:rRNA from 1 species
UACAGAGGUCUCAAGCGUUGUUCGGAUUCAUUGGGCGUAAAGGGUGCGUAGGCGGCGCGGUAAGUCGGGUGUGAAAGUCCAGGGCUCAACCCUGGGAUGCCGGUGGAUACUGUCGGGCUCGAGUCCGGAAGAGGAGUGUGGAAUUCCUGGUGUAGCGGUGAAAUGCGCAGAUAUCAGGAAGAACACCCGUGGCGAAGGCGGCUCUCUGGGACGGUACUGACGCUGAGACGCGAAAGCGUGGGGAGCGAACAGG